CCUAAUCCCUUUAUUUUCCUUUGUGUUCGCACAAAGUUAGUGCUUGCUUAGUUUCGGUAAGUGUUUCUCUUUGUUUCUAUCAUGAAUCUCUUAACGACUGAAGUGGUAAUGUUUUUUCUCUGCGAUUUGGGCGUAGGGGGAGGCUCGGACAGGUGAAUUCAGUGCUCUCGUGUUAACAAUAUUUAAGUGAAGGGUUAUCAUUGGUAGUAAGUUAG
rnacentral:lncRNA from 1 species